UGUCAGCAUCCUCGCUGGUCGGAGCCCCGCCGGCCGUCGGCGUACUCCCCGUUGCCACGUCGCGCCCCUCCCAACUCUCAUCGCCACACCGUCCCGCAAGAUGGGAUCCGCCAUGUCAAGAAGAACUGAUCCUGAUGCAUCAGAUCUCAUGAAGUAAAUCUCGAUGGUGGGGGAGAAGGAGAGAAUACAUUAAUCAGAUUAUAAUAUUGUCAAAUCGACGUGGGCUAUAACCAAACAUCACUGUCAUUUUUUUUCUUUCAGCAAACAGCCACAGAUGAUCUUUUGCAAGUGAAAAGAAUACAUAUUUAUAAGGAGCAAUCAAUGUGGGACCAAUACAAGGAUUUAGAGGACAAAACUAAUUAUAUGGACAGAUUAUAACAGGUUUUAUAUCGGAAAUAAUCUUGAAACGUGCAAGGGAAA